rnacentral:rRNA from 1 species
GGUAGUGGGGGACAACAUGGGGAAACUCAUGCUAAUACCGCAUACGCCCUAUGGGGGAAAGCGGGGGACCUUCGGGCCUCGCGCUAUCAGAUGAGCCUGCGUAGGAUUAGCUUGUUGGUGAGGUAAAGGCUCACCAAGGCGACGAUCCUUAGCUGGUCUGAGAGGAUGAUCAGCCACACUGGAACUGAGACACGGCCCAGACUCCUACGGGAGGCAGCAGUGGGGAAUAUUGCGCAAUGGGCGAAAGCCUGACGCAGCCAUGCCGCGUGUGUGAAGAAGGCCUUAGGGUUGUAAAGCACUUUCAAUUGGGAAGAAAGGUUGCGUGUUAAUAGCACGUAGCUGUGACGUUACCUUUAGAAGAAGCACCGGCUAACUCCGUGCCAGCAGCCGCGGUAAUACGGAGGGUGCGAGCGUUAAUCGGAAUUACUGGGCGUAAAGCGCGCGUAGGCGGUUUGUUAAGUCGGAUGUGAAAGCCCCGGGCUCAACCUGGGAAUUGCAUUCGAUACUGGCCGACUAGAGUACGAGAGAGGGAGGUAGAAUUCCACGUGUAGCGGUGAAAUGCGUAGAUAUGUGGAGGAAUACCGGUGGCGAAGGCGGCCUCCUGGCUCGAUACUGACGCUGAGGUGCGAAAGCGUGGGUAGCAAACAGGAUUAGAUACCCUGGUAGUCCACGCCGUAAACGAUGUCUACUAGCCGUUGGGAGACUUGAUUUCUUAGUGGCGCAGCUAACGCACUAAGUAGACCGCCUGGGGAGUACGGCCGCAAGGUUAAAACUCAAAUGAAUUGACGG